rnacentral:snoRNA from 1 species
UGCACUGCAUGGUAUCUGCAUGCAGCAGUUCAUUCCUGCUGGAUGUUCAAAGGACAGUGCAAUAGUAAUUCAGUAUCUGGCAUCGUUGGUUUUCUUGGCUUUGUGCAUGCUAAACCUGGUAUUUCUAUUGAUACAGUG